rnacentral:rRNA from 1 species
ACGCUCGACACCUACGGGAGCAGCAGUGGGGAAUAUUGCACAAUGGGGGAAACCCUGAUGCAGCGACGCCGCGUGAAGGAAGAAGUAUCUCGGUAUGUAAACUUCUAUCAGCAGGGAAGAAAGUGACGGUACCUGACUAAGAAGCCCCGGCUAACUACGUGCCAGCAGCCGNGUAUNUGAGGCGGGCGUGGACGAACGGC